GGCAGAUGAUGGUUCAUUCUCACGAUGGUCUGCGGAUGCCGCCGAGGGCGCUGCCGAAAAUGCCAGUGGCUCAGCUGAUGCCAGGAG
ensembl:snoRNA SNORD35A small nucleolar RNA, C/D box 35A